rnacentral:rRNA from 1 species
CGUGCCUAAUACAUGCAAGUCGAACGGUCUUUCUAUGGAAGCUUGCUUCCACUGAGAAGAUAGUGGCGAACGGGUGAGUAACACGUGGGUAACCUGCCCAUAAGAGGGGGAUAACAUCCGGAAACGGGUGCUAAUACCGCAUAGUUUUCUUGAUCGCAUGAUUGAGAAAGGAAAGACGGCCUUUGUGCUGUCGCUUAUGGAUGGACCCGCGGCGUAUUAGUUAGUUGGUGAGGUAACGGCUCACCAAGACGAUGAUACGUAGCCGACCUGAGAGGGUGAUCGGCCACAUUGGGACUGAGACACGGCCCAAACUCCUACGGGAGGCAGCAGUAGGGAAUCUUCCGCAAUGGACGAAAGUCUGACGGAGCGACGCCGCGUGGAAUGAAGAAGGCCGGAAGGUUGUAAAAAUCCUUUUGAAACUGAAGAAUAAGCGUUGUAGGGAAUGACAGCGUGGUGACAGUAGGUUUUGAAUAAGCAACGGCUAAUUACGUGCCAGCAGCCGC